UGACAUUGUCCUAAGUCAAACUUGUCUAUCUUUGACCAAGUUGAAAAAUAUAUUAACAUCUACAAUAUCAAAUGAAUCCACUAUCGAAAUAUUAUUUCCUGGUGUGUGCAAUGAAUAUAGUUUGAUGUAGCAGAUGUUUGUGCAUUUUUCUAUAAACUUGGUCAAAGUUAGAGAAGUUUGACUUAGGACAAAGCUAA
rfam:Sorghum bicolor cultivar BTx623 chromosome 7, whole genome shotgun sequence.